UCUGGAACUAUCUGGAAAAGCCCAUCCUGUAAACUCAUUGGCAAACUGCUCCCAGGAUAAGCUCUCCAACCUUGGGUCCACAUAGUUUUUGAACCACUCCCUUGCCUUCUUGCAUUUCAAUGUGAACCCUGCCAUCUGAAUGGCUCUACUGUCACUUGCUCCUAGCUCAUCUGUUAUCAUCUUUACCGUUCUGAGAUACUCAAAAGGGUCAUCGCCUGCUUCGAACUUGGGGGCAUCCAACUUGAGGUAAUCUGUCAUCUUUACUUUACCCCCAACUGAUGAACCAGGUUUGAG
rnacentral:lncRNA from 1 species